AGAUGCGCUUGGUUCAGCACUCACACUGAUGAGGAUCCUUCUGGCAGAGCUGUGGAGAGGAGAACCUGAAACAUAGAGGAAGCUGAAGGACAAGGUCUCUGAGGAGGAAAAGAAGAAAGGAUUGAACAGAGAAGAAAUGUUUCUACUGAAAGGAUGAGGCUGGAGCAACAAACUAGAGGUUUGGGGAUUUUCAGUCUUAGGUGAGAAGAUAAUACAAGGUUGACUAAGACUGCUGAAAGAACAGUGAAAGAGAAAGGCUGAUGAAAAGGUUGAAAAACAGAUCUAAGAUGAUCAACAUGUGGAUGGUGACUGCACAAAAA